ACGUUAGCGGCGGACGGGUGAGUAACACGUGGAUAACCUACCUAUAAGACUGGGAUAACUUCGGGAAACCGGAGCUAAUACCGGAUAAUAUAUUGAACCGCAUGGUUCAAUAGUGAAAGACGGUUUUGCUGUCACUUAUAGAUGGAUCCGCGCCGCAUUAGCUAGUUGGUAAGGUAACGGCUUACCAAGGCAACGAUGCGUAGCCGACCUGAGAGGGUGAUCGGCCACACUGGAACUGAGACACGGUCCAGACUCCUACGGGAGGCAGCAGUAGGGAAUCUUCCGCAAUGGGCGAAAGCCUGACGGAGCAACGCCGCGUGAGUGAUGAAGGUCUUCGGAUCGUAAAACUCUGUUAUUAGGGAAGAACAAAUGUGUAAGUAACUAUGCACGUCUUGACGGUACCUAAUCAGAAAGCCACGGCUAACUACGUGCCAGCAGCCGCGGUAAUACGUAGGUGGCAAGCGUUAUCCGGAAUUAUUGGGCGUAAAGCGCGCGUAGGCGGUUUUUUAAGUCUGAUGUGAAAGCCCACGGCUCAACCGUGGAGGGUCAUUGGAAACUGGAAAACUUGAGUGCAGAAGAGGAAAGUGGAAUUCCAUGUGUAGCGGUGAAAUGCGCAGAGAUAUGGAGGAACACCAGUGGCGAAGGCGACUUUCUGGUCUGUAACUGACGCUGAUGUGCGAAAGCGUGGGGAUCAAACAGGAUUAGAUACCCUGGUAGUCC
rnacentral:rRNA from 1 species